rnacentral:rRNA from 1 species
AUAUCAAUAAGCGGAGGAAAAGAAACUAACAAGGAUUCCCCUAGUAACUGCGAGUGAAGCGGGAAAAGCUCAAAUUUAAAAUCUGGCGGUCUUUGGCCGUCCGAGUUGUAAUUUAGAGAAGCGUUUUCCGCGCUGGACCGUGUCCAAGUCCCUUGGAACAGGGUAUCAAAGAGGGUGACAAUCCCGUACUUGACACGACAACCAGUGCUCUGUGAUACGUCUUCUACGAGUCGAGUUGUUUGGGAAUGCAGCUCAAAAUGGGUGGUGAAUUCCAUCUAAAGCUAAAUAUUGGCGAGAGACCGAUAGCGCACAAGUA